UAUCCAUGGACAGGGUGAAGGUGAGGUAAAACUCAAUGGAGGCCCGAACCACGUUGGUGUUGAAAAACCAUGGGAUGAGCUGUGGAUAGCGGAGAAAUUCCAAUCGAACUCGGAGAUAGCUGGUUCUCCCCGAAAUAGCUUUAGGGCUAGCCUCGGGUUAGAGACAUGGAGGUAGAGCACUGAAUGGGCUAGGGGCCGUCUAGGUUACCGAACCUUAUCAAACUCCGAAUGCCAUAGUCUUGAUGCCCGGGAGUCAGACUUAGAGUGAUAAGAUCCUAAGUCAAAAGGGAAACAGCCCAGACCAUCAGCUAAGGUCCCAAAGUGCAUGUUAAGUGGUAAAGGAUGUGGGACUUCUAAGACAACCAGGAUGUUGGCUUAGAAGCAGCCAUUCAUUUAAAGAGUGCGUAAUAGCUCACUGGUCGAGAGGUCCUGCGCCGAAGAUGUCCGGGGCUCAAACAUGCCACCGAAGCUAUGGAUUCAUGCUUACGCAUGAGUGGUAGGGGAGCUUUCUUAGCGGGUUGAAGUCAGACCGUGAGGACUGGUGGACUGCUAAGAAGUGAGAAUGCUGGCAUAAGUAGCGAGAAAUAGGUGAGAAUCCUAUUCGCCGAAAACCUAAGGUUUCCUCAGGAAGGCUCGUCCGCUGAGGGUUAGUCGGGACCUAAGCCGAGGCCGAAAGGCGUAGGUGAUGGACAAUCGGUUGAUAUUCCGAUACCACCAGCAGCCGUUUGAGAGAUGGGGGGACGCAGGAGGAUAGGCUGAGCACACUGCUGGAUAUGUGUGUCCAAAGCACAAGGUAUGCCUCUUAGGCAAAUCCGGGAGGAUAAGCUGAGUGCUGAUGGGGAGCCGUAAGGCGAAGCAGCCGAUUUCACACUGCCGAGAAAAGCCUCUAUCGAGGAUGCUGGUGCCCGUACCGCAAACCGACACAGGUAGGUGAGGAGAGAAUCCUAAGGCGAGCGGGAGAACCCUUGUUAAGGAACNNNNNNNNNNNNNNNN
rfam:Thermobrachium celere DSM 8682 genomic scaffold, scaffold47